rnacentral:lncRNA from 1 species
CAGGUGGCCUCCUGCUUGGGGUCUGUGGUCUGACGGGGUGCGCUGGGCGCGCUGUUAGUGGACUACACGGGGCGAGAGCGGGGCGGGAGACCUUGAAGACCCUCCCCAGGACCCCUGUGCGGUGGGUGUCCUGUGAGGUGCGCAGUCCUCCCCCGCAGGCGGCAGUUGGAUGCGGAUAAAUAUGAGAAUGAUCCAGAAUUAGAAAAGAUCCGAAAAGAGAGAAACUAUUCCUGGAUGGACAUAAUAACCAUAUGCAAGGAUAAACUACCAAAUUAUGAAGAAAAGUGCGUGCCCCUCUCUCAUCCCACCGAGGACCCCGGCCCCUGGGCCGUCCGCAUACUUACUCGUUUCCCUCGCUACACGCUCAGUGCUUUCGGCCUGGCUGCUCCGCCCGCCCAUCGCAGACGGCGGCCCUUGAGGGGGCGGGAGCCGGUGUGCAGGUCCCUCUCUCAGACUGAGGACGGAGUUGAAGUGACACGGUCACAAGUUACUCAGAUGUACACGGGGCUUCUGACCUUCUGGUGUGAUCUUUGUGACGACCGUGUGUCGUGUGAGGCGCGAGACGACUGCAGUGCGGGUGAGGCCCGUGAGGCUGCCCUGCGCGGCAGGAAGGGAGCAGGAGUCCGGACGUGGUGGCGUGUUGACCGCGCAGCUCGGCUGCGUGCCGUUGGGCAGGUGCCCGGCCCGUGUGGGCCCCGCUCCCUCGAGGGU